CUGAGCAGAGAUGAGGAAUGUUGUUUCUGGUGGGCUGUGCGGACAGAUGCUGGUAUGGUGAAAUGAAGCUUCUACUCACUGGAAGAUCAACUUCUAAUCCUAAUGGCUAUGAGCCAGAAUCCAUUCCAGGGGCCACUUCUGAGAGUUGCUUCCACCAUUUGGAUAAAGAUCAAGGCUCUCUUGAUUUAGGAUUACAGGAUCAAGCGACAAGACAAGGCCUGUUCAGCCAUCAGAAGCUUUCCAGCGACACUGCGAGGACCACCUGGGGAAGGGUGCCAUGUCAGUAUCAAUAGCUCUAGAAGAUUCUGUGGAGCAAGGAGCUCCUUCCUGUCUGUGAAUGUCUGCUCAGGCUACCAACUGUGGAGUGGCUGUUACAUCAGGUGUUGUUCUGAACACUUGGGUACAGCAAGAGUGAAACUAUGGCCAAUCCCUGUGUUUAUGGAGCUUACAUGAGGGCUGACUGCUGAACUACAAAUACCAUGCUUAGCUUCUAAAGCUGCAGGCUGGAAAAGCCACACCACGAAACGUUGGCAGAGGUCAGGCUUGUUUUGGAAGUGCCCAAUGGGGUCAGUGGUCUUUUUGCAAAAGGAGAGGCUGUCUGCCAGUCCUGAACGGAGGACGAAUGAAGGAAGUGAAGCUCACAGGGUGGCUGCUGGUGGUGACAUUUCCUCUCCACUUUCUGCUGGCAGUGGCUAUUCACAAAGGAGUCUGCCCACUGCCUGGGAUUCUGUGAUAUAUGCCAACACCUUCCCCUUUACUUAACUCGGAGCACUCAGCACCUUUGAUGUAAGGGCGAAUGCCUUUUUAUUUUUAAUCUGAACUGAACCUUUCCACAGGUGCUGGCUACCCCAGAGCUCACCAUAGCAUUUUCCUCUCAAGCACCCAGGGCUCCACAAUGAUGGCAGGCACCAAGAUCUGAAGAAGACUCCCUGUAGCAUCUCAUUUGCACUUCAUCCUCCGUGGCUUCCCUAGCUUCAGCUAGCUUACAGAACUGUUUGCUUUACCUAACCCAAGCUGGAGUGGCAACUGGGUCUCAGACUGUUGUCCUUGACGCUGAUAUGGGACUAUAAGACACUGCCUUUUUGGAAACUGUCUUUCAUGGAUUUGCAGUGAAACUUGGUCACAGAAUUCUGGCCCAAUGCCUGUCAAGGGUGUGGGAGUUGGAGUCAGCCAGGCCCAUGGAACCUUCCACAGCCCUCUUAUCUGUUAGUAGAAGGUGGGAGUAACCACACUGAGAACUGAAGGCCAUUAAGCUUGCAAAAGAGCCUCCAGAUGUUGCCAUGGAGCCAGCGCUUCUGACCUGGACCAGGCUUGGUCUAUGCAGGGACCUCACAGCAGUGGCUUCAUGGACCUUCAGCUCUCAGCACACACAUGCUGUGUUGUAACCUCCCAUCUGAUGUCAGAGUUUGUCUGAAUGGCCAUUGUAGUAUUAUAGAAAUGAUAUAUCACCUCUGAGAUUUUGGUCAUAAA
rnacentral:lncRNA from 1 species